AUUGAACGCUGGCGGCAGGCCUAACACAUGCAAGUCGAACGGUAACAGGAAGAAGCUUGCUUCUUUGCUGACGAGUGGCGGACGGGUGAGUAAUGUCUGGGAAACUGCCUGAUGGAGGGGGAUAACUACUGGAAACGGUAGCUAAUACCGCAUAACGUCGCAAGACCAAAGAGGGGGACCUUCGGGCCUCUUGCCAUCGGAUGUGCCCAGAUGGGAUUAGCUAGUUGGUGGGGUAACGGCUCACCAAGGCGACGAUCCCUAGCUGGUCUGAGAGGAUGACCAGCCAAACUGGAACUGAGACACGGUCCAGACUUCUACGGGAGGCAGCAGUGGGGAAUAUUGCACAAUGGGCGCAAGCCUGAUGCAGCCAUGCCGCGUGUAUGAAGAAGGCCUUCGGGUUGUAAAGUACUUUCAGCGGGGAGGAAGGGAGUAAAGUUAAUACCUUUGCUCAUUGACGUUACCCGCAGAAGAAGCACCGGCUAACUCCGUGCCAGCCGCCGCUGUAA
rnacentral:rRNA from 1 species